UCCGUCCCUUUGGGGCUCACAACCCCCACGCUGGGGGGGCCACGAUUCAGCCGCGCCGCGGGGUCCGGGCGGGGCUCGCAACCAGCGCACGCGGGCCCCCAGAUUCCGCUGGAUCUGAGCGCCCGGAGGCGGGGGUGGGCCUCCUCUUUGUGCCGACGAAGGGGCGGGGCCUCGCGGAGCUGGACCAAUCCGAGGCGGCCGCAGCCCUGGGAAGCCAAUGGCGGGGCUGUGGGCGGGGAGAGGGAGCCGGAGCGCCGAGCCGCGGCGGAGAGAGGGGCCCUGGAUCCGGCAGUGGGGGUCGGAGGCUUCUACAUAGGUCUGAGGGAGGCUUCCGGAGGGGCCCUACUCCAGAACAAUCCAGCCCCGCCCAGCUUGGCGCAGCAGGAGCGUCUGCAGCGCCACCUGGCGGCCGUCAGGAGCUCCGCAGCCCAAUCCGGAGGUGGGGGUAGCGCAGGGUCCCUGAGGGCGGCAGUCUUGGGUGGGGUCCUUUCCUCUCUCGCCCUAGGAGGAAGCAGGCUGUAUCUUUUGUCUUCCUAGUCGUGGACAGCUUCCCUAAGGGGGCACAUUGGAGCUUUGGAGCCGAGCCGUGCAGAACAUUUAUUUAUUCGCCUUCUCAGUCCAGCCGUCCCGGGGUGCAAGUGCCAGAGCGUGGUCUUGCCCGUAAUUAGGUGAAUUAGGUCGACAUCGCGUCGCUUGCCUCUAACUCCAGCAAGCCUCGUUUUUGGGGUCCUUAUACCCAUUUUAUUCAUUGGGAAACUGAGGCUCAAUUCUUGGAAUAUUGGUGCCGCCGUUCUAAUCCACUCAAGCCUGCCCCAGCCUAGGUGGGUGUGGGCGUUGCGCGCGUGCAUACAUACACACACGCGCGCGCGCGCGCACACACACACACACACGCCCAGUGUGCCACCAGGUAAUUUAUGAUCAUCCUUGAAGGCCUAUUUAUUGAACAAUUCCUUUUAUGCAGAGGAAGAGUUCGUCUCUGAGAGAGCCUGAGCCGGCAGAGUCACGCAGGGAAUCCAGACCCAGCCGACUCUGUUCGCCCAGCCCCCUUCCAAAGGCCACCCGGGAUUGGAAAUAGAGCCAGCCGCCACCCCACGCCAUUUCCUUCCAGGCUGCCCCACCGACAGCCGAGGCCAGGCUCUGGGAUGGAGGUUCCAGGAGUGUGGGAACGAGUCUUGCCCCCACUCCCUGAUUGCCUCCCCCCCCCCCCCCCCCCCCGCCUCCCCAGAUCAGGUUUCCACCUCCCUAUUUCUUCCCUCAGUCCUCAGGCUAUAUUCCCACCGCUAACGGGCUGGGCCGCGGGUGGGUGGAGAACUGAGACAGUGGGCUUCGAGGGCCUAGAGAGUUUGGGGGUGGGGCCUCUGCGAGGGCAACGCCCCCUCCCCAGCCCCUUUGGAGCAUCCCUCCCACCCUCCCCCAGCUCGCGGGAAUUCCGCUGAGUCACUUCCGAGGCUGCCUCUGCAGCCCCAGGGGGAACAGUGCCGUUCGAUUCCCUAGGCAGCGGCCCAGCGCUCACCUGGGAGACCCGACUACUGUCUUGUCUCAACGGCUCUUCUUGCCUAGCGAAGCCAACCCCACCUCAUCCCCUGCCGUUCUCCCGCAGCCACCCUGGUGGCCGUGCAAGCCGCUACCUCAGGGCCUUUGCACUGGCUUGUGUCCUCUCACUGGCACACCCCUCCCUGCGCACCUGUAGCCUGUACAUACUUCCCACGGCCACUGCCAAGGCCUCUGCUCCAGUGGGGAUGUGUCAGAUGCGAGCAAGGGGGCACCUGCCACCGUGACCCGCAGAUGCUUGGGUGGCCAGUUAGAUUGGAAAAGAUGCAGACUGCAAACCGGGAGCUCCACGUGCUGCGUGGUGCAAGUGACAGGUGCGUGCGCCCGGUCUGCGUGACCGUGUGUGCCUCAGUGCGAGGCUGCAGGUGCGUAGCGGGAGCACAGGCGCGCGCUGAGCGCGCACCCCACGAAUUCCCCGCCAGCCCAGAUGCCCAUCUUGGAGCUAUUGUCUCCCGGCUCCAAGCCCACCUUUCACAGCGAGGCUCUGGCUGGGGCUCUGAAAACUACAAUUCCCAGAAUCCUUGUCGCCCCCGGAAUUCCUGCUAGGUUCGGCCAGUAGGAGGCGUCAGGGCUCUUAACCUUUCCCGUGCCGGGAACCUUGUGGUCGCCUGUGGCACCUAAGGAUACGUACGGUCCUCUUCUCAGAAAUACGCUUUUUACAAAACGUUUAAGCCUUUAACUUGUGUUUUUACUGCAUCCUGCAUUUUAAAAUUUGUGGCAAAGUAACAUAACUUACCCAUCGCAAACAAUUUUAACUUUAGAGUUUAGUAGUAAGUACAUUAAUUCUGUUGUGAAACAGCACCCCAGAACUUUCGCCUCUUGCAAAUCGGAAACCCUACACGCAUUAAAUUCCCUUUCUCCCCAAUGCCCCUGGUAACCACCCUUGUGCUUUCUGUUUCUGAGUAUGACUCCUUUAGAUACCUCGUAUAACUGCAAUCAUACAGUAUUUGUUUUUUGGCGGCUGGCUGAGGCACUCAGCGUAAUGUGCUCAAGGUUCACGCAUGUUGUAGCAGAGUGAAAGUUUCCUUCUCGUCCUUUUAAAAUUGGAAUUAUAGGGGCGCCCGGCUGGUUCAGGCAGUGGAGCAAGCGACUCUUGAUCUUGGGGUUACGGGUUCUAGCCCUACACUGGGUGUAGAGAUUACCUUAAAAAUAAAAUCUUUAAAAAUAAAUAGAUAAAAG